GUUCGUUUGGUGUAGUGGUUAUCACGUGUCGUUCGUACCGACAAGGUCCCCGGUUCGAUCCCGGGAAUGAACA
rnacentral:tRNA from 1 species